GUUAAUUCCUGCCCCGCCUGUCUCUCCUGUUCUCUCCUCCCCUCCUUCCUGCUCGUGUCUCUGUCUGCGGAGAAGCCAUUACACAGCCAGCCUUCAGACAGACGGGGAGAGACACAGCUCAGGCACACUUGUUGAAGGAAAAGACUCAAAACGUCUCCCUUAUAAUCUAUGCACAUUCCUCUGCCCGUUGAAAUCAGGCUCGCCUCCCAGCACAUCCCGACACUGCUGUGGCGAGGCUGACCCCAUGGCCGCCUCGCCGCCGGAUCCAGUGGACGCCAUGCUCCCACCGACUUGGACCCAACACAGCAUGGCCACAGUAUUUCCAGGGUCUGGAUGCUCCAUGGUAACCACAGUGACCAGCCCUGCUUCCUGUCAGUUCAUGAGAAAGCCCUAAGGAGUGAUCUUCGCAGUAAAGAAACAGCAAGAAGAGUAAAAUAAAAAGUUGGGUUCAAUACCUCCCACUCUUGUUUGCAAAGUAUUUCUACCUGCAUACCUGAGGAAGUUUAUGGACCUCAAACAACUUCCCCUGCCCAUCUCAAGUGGAGCAGAAAUUACCUGUGGAGGCUCAGGAAUCAUGGUAAUUUCUAGUAAAGAAACAAGGUGGCAACAAGAAGUGCAUGGCUUGAAGCCAGUGUGGAAGAACCUAUGGCUCCCAUAGGAAAAUGACUCCCCCAGGCCCUGAGUAACCCCACGAGCCUCAGGAGAGUGGAGAGCACCUGGACACAGCAGGAGCCACCCAGCGUGGACUUGAUCAACACUGACCGGAAAGGAUGGACACAGCAUGGGUUUAGAGGGGCAGUUCCCCGUCUGCUGCAACAUGUACAGGAGGAAGGAUGGGCUGUGAACAGCACCAAGGUUCAGGGACCUGGUUUGUCUCUAAAAUUCUUGGGGGUUUUCUUGUAGGGUAAGACCAAAGUUAUCCCAGAAGCAGUCAGACAAGGUCCAGGCUUUCCCUAGCCCUGCCACUGUGACAGUAUUCCAAGAGUUCCUGGGUCUUUUGGGCUACUGGAGAGUGAUAAAUAUUCUUUUAUUUAUCACACUUGGCACAAAUUCUGAAGCUCUUAUACUGGUUGGUAUGAAAGGGCAUCAGGUGGGACUGGGAUGAGACAUGCAUAGCUGCUUUUACUGCUGCUAAGUGAGCAGUCAAGGGCCUUGAGUGUAAUGGACCCAUCAAGGCCCUGUGAGCUAGAUGUUCAUGUAAUCAAAGAUGGUUAUGGAUGGGGCCUUUGGCAGCGGCUUGAACGGACAUGCCAACCCAUUGGAUUCUGGUCACAGCUAUUUAAAAGAGGAGAGGUCUGGUACACCCUGAUAGAGAAGCAACUGGCUGCUGUGUACCAGUCCUUGCUGACUACGGAGCCCAUCACUGGAACAACUCUGACCAAGGGAAUGAUGAAGCAGACACAUUGGCCCAGGUGCACUGGCCAGAAGGAAAGCCUGCCUCUGAUGUGGCCCAUUGGUUACAUCAGCAUUUGUUGCAUGUGGACAAAAGAUAACGUGGGCUGUAGCCCACAGGUGGGGCUUGCUGUUGACUUUAAAGAAGUCAGCAGAGCCUGGAAGGAGUGCCUUGUGUGCUCUAAGAGGGACUUACACUGAGUCCUGCUGCAACACAGGACAAUAGAAAAGGGGCUGAUACCCCUUGUCAGGUGGCAGAUGGCCUAUAUUGGGCCUCUGCCCAUAUCAAAACGGUAUUGGUAUGGUAUUGGUAUGCCAUGACUUGUGUGGAACAGCUACUGGACUGUUGGUUGCUUUUUCUACACAUUGUGCAGAUCAGAAAACCACCAAAAGGGGCCUAGUGUGUCUCUUUGCAGCCUAUGGCUAGCCGCAGGUGAUUGACAGCAAUCAAGGCACCACUUUACUGGACAUGCAUUACAAGAAUGGGUGCAGCAAUAAGGGAUAAAGUAGAAGUUUCAUGUACCAUAUAACCCUACUGGGGCAGGCAUGAUACAGAGGUACAGUGGUUUGUUGAAAUCUGGCUUGAAGCUAGACACCAAUUAUCUGCAAGACUGGUCAGUUCCUUUAUGAACAGGGCUAUGGUGUUUGAAUGAGAAGCCCUGAAAAGGAGCCUUGAGCCCUGUGGACAUGCUCACACACCUUGCUGCCUCUCCUAUACAACUGUAUGUGCAAACCAAAGAGGAGUUAUUGAAGCCAGGAUGUGUCCAGCAGAGCAACAUCCUGCCGCCAGCUCCACCUGCAUUAAACCCUGGAGACUCUUUUGAGUGGACGCGGCUCUGGACAUUUCAACACAUGGACCAGCAAUGGCUGGUCCUUCUGGCACCUUGGGGCAAAGGCCUGGAAUCUGGCCUCUUGUGUAUUCCUGGAAUAACAGCAGAGUAGCUCCCAAAGACCAUGGUAGUGUACCCAGAACAUCUGGGAGUUAUUUUCUACUACAGUCCUUGUGGCCUGGACCUGGCCCCUGGCUGCAGCUGUGCAUGAUGAUUGCUCUGAACUCCCUACCUGUUCAGCUGCUGACUGCCUGUGGAAUGGCUGUCACUUGAACUUACUGGUGAAAUUUCAGUUGACAAUAGUGAGACUGUGAAGUCAAACACUAACUCUCUUAGUGAUUCCAGCAAGAUCUCUGGAUUUACUUGGAAGCCAGGAGUCCUGGCUUGGCAGAGAGGACAGAGGAGAAAUGGUAAUGACUACAGCAGGACAUGCCAUCAGAAAGAAACUCUCUUUCCUGGAAGAAGAGGGGUAGCUACAGGAUGCCUCUUAGCAUCUAGUCUCCAGAUGAUGACCAUCUAAUCCUAUGUUUAAAACAUUACAGCAUUUGACAAAAUGAUAGUGAAGGGCCCCCACCCGUAAGAUGGCGAACUUCCUGCUUCUCUUCAGGGUCUUCGGUUCCCGCCGGUGCCACCCGAGGCCCAAUCACCUCUCACACACCCCCAAUCCCAGCACCUGGCCAAUAGCCACUGUUGAAGUGACACCUCAAUCAGCUUAUGUCCCUCCCUAUAUAACCUAGUACUUUUCCCCAAUAAAGCGGAAUUCUCCGGUGAAUUGCUGCUGUGUGUCGCUCCUUCCUUUCAUUUUGGUGCUGAAACCCGGGAGACGGGACACCCCAACUGGGCCCCGUCUUCCCCCGACACCAGCAGCAGCUUGCCCUCGUCCUCUUUUUCCGGCGCUGGCUCCUCACACUCACCACUCCUCUCUGGCCUUUGGGUUGAAACCAAACACCCAGGACCCACCUCCUCUGGACACCCAAGACCCAACCCAGAGUCCUUCAGAUACAGCCCAAGACGCUGUCUACUCUUCCACGCCUCAUCCCUCUGAUCCCUUGAAACUCCGCAUCUCCCGUUCACCCCCUUUGCCAUCCAUACCCAAAUCAUGACCUUUUCUUCCUUUACUGCUCUCUCGCUCUCGUUCCUUAUUUCUAUUGUCUUUCCCGUCACCUC